CCUACGGGUGGCUGCAGUGGGGAAUAUUGCACAAUGGGCGCAAGCCUGAUGCAGCCAUGCCGCGUGUGUGAAGAAGGCCUUCGGGUUGUAAAGCACUUUCAGCGGGGAGGAAGGCGGUGGGGUUAAUAACCUCAUCGAUUGACGUUACCCGCAGAAGAAGCACCGGCUAACUCCGUGCCAGCAGCCGCGGUAAUACGGAGGGUGCAAGCGUUAAUCGGAAUUACUGGGCGUAAAGCGCACGCAGGCGGUCUGUCAAGUCGGAUGUGAAAUCCCCGGGCUCAACCUGGGAACUGCAUUCGAAACUGGCAGGCUAGAGUCUUGUAGAGGGGGGUAGAAUUCCAGGUGUAGCGGUGAAAUGCGUAGAGAUCUGGAGGAAUACCGGUGGCGAAGGCGGCCCCCUGGACAAAGACUGACGCUCAGGUGUGAAAGCGUGGGGAGCAAACAGGAUUAGAUACCCCGGUAGUC
rnacentral:rRNA from 1 species